CCUACGGGUGACAGCAGUGAGGAAUAUUGGUCAAUGGACGAGAGUCUGAACCAGCCAAGCAGCGUGAAGGAUGACUGCCCUAUGGGUUGUAAACUUCUUUUAUAUGGGAAUAAAACGUUCCACGUGUGGGAUUUUGUAUGUACCAUAUGAAUAAGGAUCGGCUAACUCCGUGCCAGCAGCCGCGGUAAUACGGAGGAUCCGAGCGUUAUCCGGAUUUAUUGGGUUUAAAGGGAGCGUAGGUGGAUUGUUAAGUCAGUUGUGAAAGUUUGCGGCUCAACCGUAAAAUUGCAGUUGAAACUGGCAGUCUUGAGUACAGUAGAGGUAGGCGGAAUGCGUGGUGUAGCGGUGAAAUGCUUAGAUAUCACGAAGAACUCCGAUUGCGAAGGCAGUUCACUGGACUGCAACUGACACUGAGGCUCGAAAGUGUGGGUAUCAAACAGGAUUAGAUACCCUAGUAGUC
rnacentral:rRNA from 1 species